rnacentral:lncRNA from 1 species
CCAACCAAGUUGAUUCAAAUAACUGGUCUUCAAACUCUGAGAUUCUUUCCUCAGCUUGGUCUGUUCUGCUGUUAAUGCCUCUGACUAUAUUAUGAAAUUUUUGAAGUUGAUCCCUCAAUUUCUGAAGUUCAGUUUUGUUCUUUCUUAAAAUAGCUAUUUCAUCUUUAAGCUCUUUGAUCAUUUUUCUGGAUUCCUUGAGUUCCUUGUAUUGGGUUUCAAUGAUCUCCUGGAUCUUGAUGUACUUCCUUGCCAUCCAGAUUCUGAAUUCUAUGUAUGUCAUUUGAGUCAGUUGGCUUCAUUCUGAGUGCUUUCAAAGGGCCAAAGCUCUGUACAGCAUCUUUAUUUGUGGCUAGAUUUUUGCUUUAGGUUUCACAGGUGCUGUAUAUUGGAAAAAUGUUUUUGGUGUUGUCAUUUGGGGUGCAAUCCAGUAGGUGAUGCUUAAGAGUGGUAGCUGGCAGAUAGGCUCUUACUCAGUCCACAGCUCUUUUGUAUUUUGGUGCAGUCCUCAGUAGUGCUCUGUGGUGGUAGGGAGAGAUGACCCCCUCACCAGAUACAUUCCUGGGCCUUGGGGGAGCCCUCUCUUAUUACUGGCACUGCACCUGCAUUUCAUUUAUUAGGUGUCCUGGGCUGCAGGGUGCCCUCAGGCAGAGGCUGCGGCUGGAAAAUAGACCAUACCCUUCCCUGGCUGGCCCUGCACAAGGAGGCACACCCUGUUCCUGAGCCAGUCCAUGAACCCAGCUGUCUCACCCCUCUCAGUGUUCUGAGAGUAGGGGAUCCCCCACUGCUUGAGCACCAUGAGCCCCUCCUGGCUACAGGCAGUGGGGGUAGGUAUAGUCUCUCAACCCACUGUCCAACUGAUUUCCAGGGUAACAGAGAGCUGUGCCUGCCCACAGAGUUCAGGCAGAGGCCAGGCCAUUGUGCUGGAAGCUGAUGCUAAGCCUUGUCUGAUGAUGGGGAGUGAAGCAAUGUAACGGCUCCCUAACUGUGGCUUCUCUCAGGGCUAUGGCAGCUGGCAUGAGACUGCUCCAGGUCCAAGGCCUGUGGGACUUCCUGUGGACUUGAGUUUUGCCUCUGCAAACACUCCAGCAACUCUCUAUGUCAGUCUAGAGGCCCAGGGACACGGAUCAGGUAUUGGGAUGAAGGGGUUCUCCAGUUCCCAGGAUUUCACAGGUCCCUGUGGAAAGUGAGGAUCCCCCAGGGGCUCUCACUCACUCACCCUUUCUCUAUGUUGGGGAGCUUCCCCUGGCUCCAUGCCCAUCUUGGGUGGCCAGCUGCCCAGCUUCACUCUUCCCUGUUCUCUGUGUCCCCUCACUCCCUUAAUUGUCCUGAUAUCGUUCCUUAGGUGAUCUACUUGCAGAGGCAGUGUUUACUCGCCACUUGUUUUCUCUCUGUGAGAGUAGCACACACUAGCUGCUACUCAUCUAGCAUCUUGAAUUCUUCCCAUCUGAAAAAGUUUCAACUGCAAUCACAGUUAAAGAAAUACAAAAACAAUAGCACUCU